UCCCCCACACUGGUACUGAGACACGGACCAGACUCCUACGGGAGGCAGCAGUGAGGAUAUUGGACAAUGGGCGAGAGCCUGAUCCAGCCAUGCCGCGUGCAGGAAGACUGCCCUAUGGGUUGUAAACUGCUUUUAUACGGGAAGAAACCCAUCUACGGUAGGUGGCUGACGGUAC
rnacentral:rRNA from 1 species